rnacentral:rRNA from 1 species
AUGGAUCUUGGACAUGAACUUCGGAUUUACAUUGACAAUGUCCGAGCAGACCAAAGAUUUGCCAAUUUGGAUGGCAUUGCGGAUCUUGCUAAAAAGUUGGUGGAUACUAAGAAGCAUCUUGCUUUCCCUUUGGUGUAUCAACUUCUAAAGCUAGUGCUAAUUUUGCCGGUUGCCACAGCGUCAGUGGAGAGAUGCUUUUCAGCAAUGAAUAUUGUGAAGAGUGUUUUACGCAACAAAAUGGGUGACCAGUUCAUAAGUGAUUGCUUGAUUUGCUAUGUGGAAAAAGAUAUAUUUGCUACCAUUACGAAUGACGCCGUAAUUGAUCUAUUUAAGAAGAUGGGAGAUCGAGAAGGCAAGUUAUAA